rnacentral:misc_RNA from 1 species
UAGCUCCUUCAUUUGAGGCACUGUGU